rnacentral:lncRNA from 1 species
AAAAGAGUAAAUGGUUUGGGCUUAAUGCUUCUUUCUUAAGAGUUGCAGAGGCCUUGAGUCUGUGAGACUUGGUGGGUUUUCUACGGUUAGUGAUGCAGGGUUUUCGUCCAUUUUAUGCUCUUGCUAUAAUUUGAAGAAAUUUGAAGUUUGCAAUGCACCGCUAAUGUCAGACUUGGCUUUUCACGACACCAAUGAGAUCGUCUCUCCUCUUACUGAUCUGAGAAUCUUGUUGUGCAACCUCAUAAUUAGCAAAGCUGUGGCUGAACUUGCUGCAUCUACUAUAUUGGAGUGCUUGUUCUUAUGGUUGCAGGAGCAUCGCCAACCCCUGUCUCGACUUCAUAUCACUCCUUAGUACACUAACCGCGCUAAACCUAGGAGGAGCUGAUAUCACAUUGACAAUGGUCUUGCUGUUUUGGGUAAAGGGGACUUACUGAUGAACGUUUGAGUCUAGAGGAUGUGUGAGAGUCACUGAUGGAGGAAUAUUCUCCGUACUCAAUGUUGGGGGGAAAAUCAAGAUGACAUUUUCAUCUCUAGAUAUUGGUCACAUGCCAGGAAUAUUAGAUAGAGGUAUCAAAAGAUUCAAAACAAUUGUUUCUAGCUCGAGCAAUUACUGAGCCAUAUAUGAGGGAGCAAUUACUGAGCCAUAUAUGAGGUAUUGCUUUUGUGUGACCAAGGCUGCUUUGUAAAUGUUGGCUUCUGAGAAAUCCAAUAGAAUUAAUUUGCUUCAACGACUUGACCUUCGUCAUUGCAUGAGGUUCUCAAUUGUACUGCUGGGAUUAUUGCAGGACAGUUCGUUUCGUGGCUUGCGAUGGCUUGGAUUUGGCAGCACUUCUUUGGUUACUGCAAGGGAUAAUUACAGAGUAAUAUGCACAAAGAGACCGUGGCUGACUCUGUGUUUUGAAGACACUGAAGUUGGAUGUCAUGAUGGAUGGCAAUUACGCCCAUUCUAAUGGCACGUCUUGAUUCUCUGGUUUGCUUCUCCCCCAUUAGAAAUUUAGGGUCCAUUUGAUUGCGAAGAUGGAAUUUGGGUGGAAAGAAAAUGAAUUCCAGGGAAUUGAAUU